rnacentral:rRNA from 1 species
GACGUAGGGGGCCAGCGUUGUUCGGAAUUACUGGGUGUAAAGGGUUCGUAGGCGGUGCGGCAAGUUGGGAGUGAAAUCUCUGGGCUUAACCCAGAGGCUGCUUCCAAAACUGCUGUGCUUGAGUGUGGGAGAGGCGCGUGGAAUUGCAGGUGUAGCGGUGAAAUGCGUAGAUAUCUGCAGGAACACCCGUGGCGAAAGCGGCUUCCUGGUCCAGCACCGACGUUCAGGCACGAAAAGCGUGGGGGAGCAAACAGG